rnacentral:lncRNA from 1 species
UCAAAUACUGGCCUGAUCUGAGAACUGAUAAUUUUAUUGAGAGCAAGUCAUUAUGGAGGGACCAAUGGAGAAAGUUUGGUUCAUGCUAUAGUAUGAUGCCAGAUGACUAUAUUGUUUAUGCACUCAACAGUAGAAAGAGAAAUGACCUCAAGAAAAUCUUGACAAAUGCAGGUAAAUAAGUAAUUUAAGUUCAUGUUUCACACACAAAAGUUAGGGGAAACAAAAUAAAACGUGACGUUGUUUUGAGGUUGCAUUAUUUAUUAUAAUUGCUAGAGUUUUUGGUAUCCCCUUGACAGUUAGGAAUGAGUUACUAUGUUAACAUAAUGUUCUUUCUUGAAAUUUUCACUCCUAAUUUAAGGAACAUUAAUAUAAUGAUCCUAAAUAAAGGUGUCUGAUUUUAAUAUCAUUGUUAGGUAUUGUUGCAAGUGGAAAUCCAUAUCCAACACGUAGGAUACUACAAGCUUUCAGGAAAGCUUUAGGUGUGAAUGUUGACAUAGUUUGUGAGCCAGAUAGAAGUGGAAAUGUUUAUCUUGCAGAGGUCCAUCAAUGUGUUGAUGCUGCUGGAACAACAUCUAUAGACUGUGACAAUAAGGCAAGAGGAUGUGAUGAUGACCCCAUCUUUCCCUACAUGGGAUUCCAACCAGACAAAGAUCCCAAGUAAUAAGAUCAUGCAAUCAAAAUCUCCUAUAGUUGUAUUACCCCUGGAACAAAUAUAUAUAAAAAAUAAGGGGCUCUAAGGGUAUGUUAAGGAAAUAAAUAAUAAAAUAUCUGAAUAAAAUUCAAAAAAAAGGUUUGACCUAAUUAAUGUGCAAAUUAAACAUUUUUUACCUCGUGUUAUUGUCUAUUGUUUUAUUCUUAGAAAAAUUAGUUAAGAUGAGAUGUUGCAAUUCUACAUUUGUGCUUAUCGUGGCAUCAUCAAAGAGUAUUAUUAUUGCAACAUAUAAGAAAUGUUUGAGUAGAAACCACAAGAAAAGAUCAAAGAAGAUGAAUAUUUUUGUGUUGCUAAAGCUAAGUAAAAGAGAUUAAUUUUUACGACAAAACUUAUUCAAAUCUAAUAAUUUUAAAUUAAUUUUUUAAAUUUAUGUUAUUUUAUCUAUAAGAAAAUUUUAUAAUAUAUUAUUUAAAAAUGUUAUUAUCUAUAUAAAUAUUUUUUUUUAAAAAAAGGCAUCUAUAUAAAUUAUUUAUAUUGAGAUCUUAAUUAUUAAUAAUUUUAAAUAAUUUAUAUAAAGGAAAAUGUUAAAUAAUUUAUGUAAGAUAUUAAAAUAAAUUUUACACAAAAUUAAAUAUUUUUAAUUUAAUUAUUAUCUUAUUUAGUAGUGAUAAACAUUUUAGCUUCACUUCUGAUAUGUUUAUCACAAGAAUCUUGUGUUUAAUUUGGGAAAUUUCCGAAUCAUGAAGACUUAGUGAUUAAUUUUUUACCUAUUCAAACUAUAUAAAAAAAAAGGUUUUGGUGAUACACAUUUUGAAUUUUCUUUUGGCUAAAUGAUAUUUUUUGUCUUUUAUUUUUUUCAGUUUGGUCGUUUAUCUUUUAAAAUUUAUUUUGAUCUUUUAUCUUUUUAAAAAUGAUUAAAAAUUUUAUUUUAAUCAUUUAUCUUUUACAAAAUUCAUCCUACAAAAAUGCAAAAGGUUGACAUUGAAUCCGCUGUGAGACCUAGAUCUACAAAAUCCAACUUCGAAUAAACUAUUAAUCGUGACUUUCCCCACAUUUGUGUUUUACCCAACCCAUAUCAUGCCCAUUGUGAUGCAUGGUCAUAGGAUUCUGUGACACAUGCAUGUUCAUUCCAUCGAUAUCGUGGUGUAAUUAAUGUCCUUCAUUUGGUACAGAGGUUUUAAUAUAACUAGGCAUUAACACGCGCGUUGUGAGGAUUGAUAAAUAAAUGUACAAUAAUGAUAUAAUUUAGAGAAAAUAAAAAUAACUAAACAAAAAAAAUUAAUUAAUUAAAAAAUAAAAUUCACAAAAUAAAUAGUAAGUUUAGGAUUAAGGACAUUUACUAAAAUUGAUAUAUUAUAAUUAUGCAAUUUUAAUCUCUAAUGACAUCAAUUUAUUGUUAAUGUCACGUCAACUUAUUGUUGGACUGAUACGUCAUUUUUUAUUUUAGUGUCAUGUUAUGACUAACAUAUUAAGUAAUUUUUGUUAAAUUAAAAAUUGACGGCACAGUAGCGUCGAUCAAAAUUGUUAAAAAAAAUAAAAAUUUGAAGAUCAAAUUACAAUGAAAUUUUUUGAAGAAUCAAAAUUGCAUAAUCUUAAACUAUAAGGAUCAAAACUUUAUUUAAUCCUAUAUUUUAGAAGGCGGUCAUGAGUUUUUUAUGUUUAAUUGAAGAUGAUAGAAAUAUUCCUUAAAUUUAAAUUCAUAGGAGUGUUAAUUUGUGAAUAACAGUUAAAAAAUUAAGGAUGAAGCUUGAUUUAAACCUAUUGUAAUUGAUAUUUCUUUUUAUGGACUAAUUAGUUAUUGAAUCCUUUCUAAAAGAAAAAUAAAUGUUAUUGAAUCCAUGCUUAUUGUUUUUCCUUAGUUGAAUCUCAUCAGGAAAUUGAUUAGUAAUUUGAGUCUUUCAAUUGAGAAAUCAGGAUUUAAACCAUUCAAAUUCAAUAAUCAUAUAAUUCCUAAGCCUAAGAAUAAGGAUAUUAAUUGUAUGCAUCUGUGUAAAAAUCCGAAACAUAUUGUUUGUUGCAAAUUCUGCUCAUCAUUAUUAAGGUUCAUAAUUAAAAAUAAAAAUUUUGUCGCUUAAGGGAUCAGAGAUAAACUAAAUCCGGGAAAUCAAAUAUUUCAAAACCUAACCAUCUGCAUCAAUUGAAUUUUCUAAUACAAUUGCAUUCUUGUUUCUUUCAAUUAAAUAAAUUAAAAAAAUGAAACUUCCUGAUUUUUUUCUUUCUUCUCAAAUCAAAAGAUUAAUUGGUUUAUUAUUGUUAAAUCACAAUAAUUGUGAAAACGAUACUCUACUUAUCUUUAAUUUUACUUGCAUGACUGCACUUGCAACAAUCUUAAUACUUUACCUCCAAGAGAUAGUUAGACUGCAUAGGGUUCCAAUUGACUUAGUGUUAGAUUGCAAGCUCAAUUUUAGCAAUAUUGCCUACCAUCUCCAGUUAGAUUAUCAGAGUGAGAGGGAUCGACUAUAUAGUCUUUAGAGGAAAUUCUUAGGGAUUGCAUCUUAGAGGAGAAAUGGAGUUGGGAUAGGUACUACUUACCUUUGAUCGAUAGCGUUUUCUUACAAUAACAAUUUCCACUUUAGCUUAGGUAUGACACUUUAUCAGGUCUUGUAUGGCAAUAAAUUAAUGAUAUAGAAAUAUGUUGUACAAUGUUAUUUUUGCACUAGUGAAUAUAAAUUACAUUGUUAAUAUAUAUCCAAGAAUGUUGUACAAAUAACUUAAUUCAAACAUAAAUAUCUUCUUCAAAAUUUACUCUCUAAAAAUUAACAGCUGAAAAAAAAAACUUCAAACGCUCAAAGUGCAUGUAAUGCAAAUAAUACUACUUCAAUAAGGUAUUUUUUAUAAGUAAAUAAAUUUAAUUUGAGCCUCGAUAAAAAAAUUUCAAGUUCACUUUCUUUUUGUGAAACACAUGAAACUCAUGAUUUAUUUUGGUUAUCGAUAUAAAGCCUUUGUUAGUAGAUAUUUAUAAAUAUCCAUUGAGUCUUAAGACAAUAUCAUGAGCAUUCAAAAUUUAAUUCAUCUAAACUUUUAAUCAUAAAAAACACACUUCAAUAAAAGCUCACAUAACAAUUGGAUUAGUAAUCACUAUGAUGAUAAUGUUAUGAGUCAUAAAAACACAAAGUUAAUUAUAAUAUAAACCACUAUAAUAUUUGCAAGUCCCAUUAAUUUUAUUUGUGGUUGUAAUGUCACGUUAGUCACUAAGUAAAGGGAGAAGGGUGAGCUGUAGAUUUGCAUAUAAGGCUUCAAUAUUUGGUCAUCAACCACAACCCAAAGCUACUGAAAUUCCCAAAGGCAAAAAAUACAAGAUGAUCAUGAAUAGCAUCCUUUUGGUUUUACUACUCAUGGAAAUUCUUAACUGUGAAGCACAAUAUUUCGAUGCCAGCCCGUACGACUAUUUAGAACUAGCCUUAAGGUGGCCAAACUCCUACUGCUUAACACAUGAAGAUGGUUGCAGGGAAAUAGUGCCCCAAUAUUUCACUAUUAGCUACUUUCGUCCCAGGAAAUUGGGAGGGCCUGAUCUACAAUAUUGUCCCACGCCAAUCACUCUGUCAAAUAACAUUGUUAGUAUCUCUUCCAUUCCCAUACAUUGAGAUCACAGUUAUAACAUUUUAUGCGUUUGAUUUUCAAGUGUUAUUCACGGAAAAUGUCCUUGAAAUUUGUUAGAAUAAGACCUUUUUUAUACAUAAAUUUCUCCGUUAAGUAUUUACUUAAAAUGAAUUGAAUUUUGUAAGUUAAAUGAGCUAAAAUAAACUUAUGCACCUUAAUUUAUUUUAUCAUCUUAGUUAAUUUCUUCUUAUGCUUAUCAAGAAUUUUAUCCAAACAUCUCACUUAAAAUUUGUAAGGCUGAAUAAUUUGAUAAUUUGUAUAAUCAUGCAGAUUGAAACGAACAAAUAUGACCUACUUAGAUUCUGGCCUGAUCUGAGAACUGAUAAUUUUAUAGAGAGCAAGUCAUUAUGGAGGGACCAAUGGAAAAAAUUUGGAUCCUGCUGUUUUAUGAUGCCAGAUGACUAUUUUGUUUAUGCACUCAACAACAGAAAGAGAUACGACCUAAAGAGAAUCUUGACAAGUGCAGGUAAAUGUACGUAUAUAAAAUGAAAUUCAAAUUCAUGUUUCACACACGAAAAGUUAAGGAAAAAAGAAUAAUACUUGUCCAUGUUUUGAGCUUGAGUUGUUCUUGUUACAAUUGGUAUCCACUUGAUAUAUAGUGAGGAAUGAGUUUCAUACUAAGUUUAUAUAAAAUUUAUUCAUGAAAGUUUCAGUCAUAAUUUAAGGAACAUCCUAAUAAAUAUGGGUAUGUGAUUGUGCUCUCGUAAAUGUCAGGUAUUGUUGCCAAUGGAAAUUCAUAUCCAACGUAUAGGAUACUACAAAUUUUCAAGAAAACUCUAGGUUUGAAUGUGAGCAUAGUUUGUGAGUCAGAUAGAAGUGGCAAUGUUUAUCUUGCAGAGGUGCAUCAAUGUGUUGACAUCUCUGGAACAAUGCCGAUAAGUUGUGACAAUAAAGCAAAAGGAUGUGACGAUGACCCCAUCUUUCCCUAUAUGGGAUUUCAACCAGAUAAAGAUCCCAAAUAAUAACACCAUGCAAUCACAAUCUCCUAAUUGUAUUACCCCUUCAAUAUAUAUAAGAUAAUUUUAUUACUAUAAAAUUUUUAUAUAUAUAGUUUCUCAUUAUCCAUGUUCCUUGUUUGAUCCUCUUCUACAUCGAUCAUAUAUACAAGAUCACUGGCAAUCUGGCACUAUGCUUCCCAUCCCCUUGCUUCUUUUAUCUGAUCCCAUUUUACAACGCUCAUUUCAGGCAAGGGAAUAAGAUAAGGAGAAAAGAUGAAGGAAACGAAACAAAUUAAGGGAGAGAAGAAAUAUUGCUCACACGCAACGGAAACGAAACAAAUUAAGGGUGAGAAGAAAUAUUGCUCCACACACUAACACACAUAGGAGAUAAGAUAAGGAAGAGAAUUUGUCUGACUUUGACUUAAACUUAAUUUACUGAUUCACGAAUUCAUUGGUCUAGCUAGGUGCUGUACACAAGAAGCCUUUUAUAGGCAAAUUCAUAUUGAUAAAAUAAUAAAUACUUAAUAAUUAAUUAAGGAAAGGUACAAUUAAUAGAUUGUUAAAACUCAGUCUCAAGCGAUGCAAAUAGGCAGUGAAGUGAUGUUCUUAUCAGUGACAGCAAUUAGUGACAUAUUCGACAAAACAUUUAUAUAGAGCACGCGUCCCAAUCGGGUUUGCCUAACAACAUUUUCCGUUCUUCAUUUGUCUGUUAACAAGAAAGUGAUAAGAAUGCAAUUAUAAAAUCAACAUCAAUAAAAAAAAAACAGGAUAUGAAAAACAAGAGUAGCACCACUCUUUCCUUUGUAAAGUAUUUGUCAUCAAAGCUGUAAACAUCAAUAGCAGAGACAUCUACUUUGGCCGAUGUGGCAAUAACAUAAGACUAAUUAACACGUACGUCUCAAAGGAACUCCAUUAAUCUUGGAAGAGCCUGAAACGGCAAGUGAGAGAAACAUAAGCCAGACCAAAAAUGGGUGGAGAGCAAAUAGGGGAAGUAAGGGAUCACUCCUCUCUCUUCAGUGCUAUCAAAACCAGAUUUGUUGGGUUAGUGGGUUAACGUUCGAACGGGUAAGUCAAUAAUUGAACCUCAUCGACCAGUGCAUAUUAAAAAUAUGAAAUUUAAUUCAGAUGCAAACUAGAUACUAAGUUUUAUCUCAUGUAAUGGAAAGUUUAGUAGUGCUUUUUAUUUUAACAAACUUGGGAACUUGAGUUCAAGGCUUGUUGGCUCGGGCAAAACUUUACCAAUUUUUAUAAAAUCAUAUUCAAAUUUCAACUUGCUUCCUCACAUUCAAAUCGUAAUUCGUAAAACUAGCAGGCCACCCAUGUAACAAAGCGCAACAGACCUAUGUGCGUGACAGUGUCUCAGUAGCAUAUAUGAAAAAGGUCUGAAGCAAUCACAGGUUCAGUUUUCGAUCAAACCAGUCAGACCGGACAGGCCAAUCCGAAUUUUAUAACAGUGUCUCUCAACAUUUUCCAUUAUCAAUUUUUUCCUCUCAUAUAGUACAACUUUUAAUUAAAUAAGUAAUUAUUAAUUCAUAAUUAUAUCCAAUAGGUACUCGGUCGACAGAAAUAGCUGGAUAAGUAUUAGGCCCAUUACAAGAUGGGAAAGUCAUAAGUAAGAGGCAAUGGAGAUUGGAGAUUAAACUCCUUAACCAUACUUAGAAUCAGAUUAGCUAAGAUGCAUGGUAAUUGUCUGCAAGAAAGUCCAAAGUCUAACAAGAUUUGUAUAAAUAAAAAUGAGAUUCUUGAGGUAAAGACAUUAUUGAUGUUUAUUUGUUACUUUGAACAUCGGAAUGUUUUACAAAAGAAUACCAUCCUAGGGCAGACAGCAAGACCAAAUACCCUGAAGAAUCUAAGGAAGAGGGACGUUGCAAGAAGAAGACCGUUGAGCUCUUGGAAUAUGGAAAUGCAGGAGAUACUUUGGGUGAAGGCGCAUGAGCCGCCACUACUUUGGGUGGUUCAAUUUGAUGAUGAGGUGGAAGACAUGUCCACGCUGAUGGAGGAGGACAGACGUUGUUCGUUGAUCUCGGCGAGUUUCCAACAUGUUGGGCAAUUUUUCACUCUGAGGGCUAGAGCGAUUCAAGGUGGCGGUAACGCUGCUGCAUUAAGUGGCAAAGAUAGUUUAGAUUUGGUAGUAAUUAAAAGAAAACUAAAGGACAAUUUUAUCAUUUAACAUAAAAUUAGAAGUCUUUGUUAUCGUAGUUCAUUAAGGCUUAAGGGUGUGUUUGAUGCACAAGAAGGUAUAAUGCAAGCAUACCAAUACGUUCAACGUAUAUGUCUAAAGGAUCAUUUUUUAGUGGUAAAAUUGUAAAUUUGGUUCUCUUAUUUUUUUUCUAAAUUUAAUUUUGGUUUUCUUAUAAUUUAAUUUAUAAAUUUAAUUCCUUAAUUUUUUACAAUUCUGUUAUUUCAAUCUUCAAUCCCAAAAUUAAACGUUGACCGAUAAUUUAUUGUCUUGAUCGUGAAGUGUUACAUUUUUAUUGAAAGUGAAUCAUGAUGUAUUACACUUUUAUUAUUAGAUGUUGACGUUAAUAGCUGCAUGAAAUUAAGGUCUCAUAAAAAUGUGACAUCUGAUCAUCAAUAUUCAAUAAAAGUGUGAAACAUGACGGUCAAUGUUGACCCUCAACGUCUAAUUUUAGGAUUGAAUACUAAAAUAACGAAAUUACAAAAAAUUAAAAAACUAAAAUUCGUGAACUAAAUUAUAAGGAAACUAAAUUUACAAUUUUAUCUUUUUAUUUUAUACAUUAGUUGAUGGAUAAUAGAUAAUAUAAGUAAAAUAAUAUAAAAUUUAGAGUAAUACUCUUUUUAAUAUAAUUCUUCUAAAUAAAUAUUUUAAUACAAUUAAUAUUAUUAUAUAUCUUAUAAUAUAUUAUUAUGUAUUAGAUAUUAUAGCAUAUCUUCUAAAUAUAAUAUUAUAUGAUAAAUAUUAGGUUAUGCGUAAUAUGUCCAAUAUAUAAUAAUAUACAAAUUGUAACAUGUAUAUUAAUUAUUCAGCAAUGCUACUUGGUACUAAAAUGUUUACACGAAUUUGCAUGAAUUAAUUAAACUGGAUAAUUUUGUUUUUCAAAAUAAAUAUUAAUUAAAAUAAAAGAUAAGUCAUUGACGCAAAUACACGGUCGUGCAGUUUUUUACGAAACUGUUUUCGUACUAACAAGCAUUUCCCUUAAUUAAUCGCACAAAUAAUUUGAUAUAAUUUUAAGUAUAAUGGAAAGAUAUAUAAUAAAGAUAGUGGCUAGACAAGGUGGGAGGAGUGGCAACGAGAGAAAAAAUAAUAAGGAUAUAAUUAUGCCUUAAAGGUGGGUUUGAUUUAGAAGAUAAAAAUAAAAUAAAAAAAUUAGAAUAUAAUAAAUGCCGUUCACACAAAAAAACGUAUAAAUUUAUCUUUAAUAUCAUUUCUUUUCUUUCUGUCAAACACACCAUUAAUUAUAUUGCCAUAAGGUUUUCCCUGGUUUGAUACUUUUUUUUUUCUUUUGUCCUAUGACCAUUUGGUCAUGUGGUUUACCGUGAAUAGCUUAUUAAUCUCGUUCAUACACCUGGUGCACCCUCCUAUCAAAUUUUUUUUUCUCUUUAUGUCCUUCUCUCUCCUACUUCAUUCUCCGAUUGUCUCUAACUGUUGCCGCCAGUGGCAACGCCUUUGACAAUAACCCUUUAUUUUUUCCUUUUCCUCACUCCUUCUCAAACAAAUCCACGGCAUCGUCGUUAACUUCACUGGAACUUCACCAAAUCCACGACACCAGAGCGAACCGAACUAGAGCACCUACUUCGUCGCCUUUGUGAGUGAUUGCCAACACCAUGUUCGCAACAAAUCAAGGGGACUUCUUGUGGGUUUGUUGUCCCUGAUCUAAAUCAAGUUUAAUCUUGUUCGAUUGUUUUUGCUUUGAUCGUGUGGAUGAUAAAGGGAUGAUGAGGUCUUUGAAGGGGUCAUGGUCGUCGCAUGAACAAGGUAUGCACGCUGAGGCCUUGGUGUUUUCCGGAGCACUGGUUCGAUGGCAACGGACGCGUGACGACGGCGGUAGAAUUGUAGUGGCGGCGACAAAAACUCAGUAAGGAAUGAGGGGAAGUUGGAGGCAAAAGAGUAAAUGUUUUCAACGAGAGAGGUUCUAUGAUGAGAUCAUGGCAGUGCCUAGGAGUGUCUUGUCAUAUAUUCAUGUUUACAAUCAAACAUAUGUAACAAGUGAUUUUAUGUUGCCUUGUCCUUUGUUCUUUUGCAAAUCAAACGAUCAAGAGUCAAAAUAAUGUAAAAAAAUUGAAGUGUAUCAAACACAAUUGAAGAAAAGGAUGUAGGAGAUACGAUCCUAAUUUACUCUAAUAAAAACGGAAAAAUGUUUAUCAAUAUUUUUUAGUAUUGAUUAACAAAUUGAAAAGAAAAAAAAUAUAUUGAGAUGGACAGAAUUAUAUUAUCUAUAAUUUUUUUUUUACAUUUUCUUAUCAUUUCUAUAAUAAAUAUUUUUUAUUUUAAUUUUUUAACCAUUGUUUUAAAAAUAGUAUUAGCAAUAUCCUAUUUAAAAAAAAAACUACUGCUAAAGCACCACUUAAUUACAAUGAAUUGAUUGUUGAAGUCUUACUCGGAUAUAAAACAUUCAACCAAUGAAUACCACUGUCUCCAAAAUAAAGGUUAGGUUCCCCCACCUAAGAGCACUGCUUGAUCGGUUUGGCACUUAUUAAUUACCACUAGCAAGUGACAGAGACUCGCAAGUGUACUCGUAAAGGAGGUUAUUGGAGGGGAAAACAAUCAAAAGAUUUAUAAAAGCAUAAAGGGAAAAAUAUCUAACAAUUUGUUUAAUGGUUAAUAUUCUUUAAAAUAAGGUGUGAUAUCGCAUUAUCAAAUACUUGUAAUAAAGUAUUCAAUACCUUAAAUCAAAUAUAUUAUUUAAUAAACAAAAUUUUAUAAUUACUCAAAAGAAAUCUUUUGAUAUUUUCUUUUUAAAAUUUCUUAUAUUAAUGGAUUUUAUUUAUUCCUUUAAUUUUUCUAACUUAAUUUUAAUUAGAUAUUGGUUAACAGAACUAUUGCCAUAAUAUUUAAUAACAAACGGUUUUUCAAUAUCUGUUAACAGUUUUAAUAAAUUAUAAGAUUUUUAAAUAAAGUUUAACUAAAAUUACAAGUAAAGCUCCAUCAUAUAAAUAUUCUUCAUAACAAUAUGCCUUCUACAGCUUCGUCAUGAGCACAUUAAUUUAUAAGAAAUAAUUUAUAAUGAAAUUAUCUAGGUGUAAUGUCCUUUCAGAUAAGGUUUUAAUAUUUUUUUUCAAGGUCAUAAAGUUUAUGUUAAAUUUCUUUUAAAUGUGUUAUUUAUUUAAAGUAUCUAUCCACUUUAUUAAUUAAUCUAUGUUAAAAAAUUUGAUUUGUCAUCUUUUAUGGAUCUACCUCUAAUAAUACACGCUGUUUCCAUUAAUAAGUAGGAAUAUCAACGGAUACGAAUAACCCAUGAAAUCAAUCUAAUUAGUUUAAUUUGAAUUUUUUUAAGAUUCAGGUUAAAUUCAGCCCAACUCAUGUAGACCCAUUAGCAUACACAUUUUAACUUUUGAACUUGUGAUCCAACCUGACAUGAUUAGUGUCAUAUUAAGUUAAUUGAAAAAAUACAAAACACCACUAGCAUACACAUUUUAGCUUUUUGCUAAUACUCCUCUCUUUUUUUGGUAGCAAAAGAGAUAAAAAAAAAAAACAACAAAAUUACAAUAUAGUGAAAGGCAAAGCAAUCCCUAAAUAUCCAUGAAUAUCUCUUUUUUCAAUCUUUUUUUUUUUCUUCUAAGAUUCAUCUUUUUAACCCACCCAUGAUUUUUUUCAUUUAUUAGUUGUUUUUAUUUUUAUCUUGAUUUUUUUAUGUUUUGUUAGGCUAAUACAAUAUUUUAUUUUUAUAAAAAAUAAAAAUAUUAUAUAUACUAACAUUGAAACCAUUCAUUAAUUUUGUUAAUCAAAUACUAUUUUAAUUUGGUCUCUUUAAUUAGAGGACAUUUAGUUAUUAUAUAUUUGCAAAGAUACGGAAGAAAACAAAAACUAUUGCUCUAAAAAAUUAUAGUGUUUACAAAAUAAAAAAUAAUCUAUAAAUGUUUAAACCGAUUGACAUAAUCCAACCAACUCAUUAAUGAUCGAGUUUGUUUGAUUUGGAUUUGCCGUCUCCAUAAUUUUCUUAAAACUUAAAAUGAGUUAUCAAAAUUGAUAAUUGAUGUCGAAUUGUUUUAAUUAGUAGCUAGAUAAUAUCAACGUAUAAUAUUUGAAUUUUCAUGUUAUCUCAUCAUUUUUAUUUGUUUUGCAAAAUUAUUUUAUUUAUAUUCUUUAUCGUGUAUUUUAUUUUAUUCUUAAACCCUGUAACUAGAACAGUGCCCGUGCAUAGAAUGGAGGCACGUAGAAGUGUAAAAUGGAGGCUGGGCACUUAUAAUAAUACUAUUGAUGAUAGCAAAAGUGAAAUAAAAAAUAUGAAUUCGGUUUUGAAAAACUCAUUAUCAACAUGGUAUUCUUGAUAAAUUUGUUAUUAUUCAUCAAAGAGAUAUAGAAAGAACUUCAAUUGGUGAAAAAGUGAUUGAAGAAUAUCACCUAUAUAGAUGAUAUUGAAAACAUUAAUUUGUAGUGCUUUUUUUCCAAUUGUAUUUAGUGCUACUCAACUUGGAUAUUGAAAACAUUAAUUUAUAUUCUAAUGAUUGCGGAUAUAUAGGCUGGCUACCUAAGAAAAAGAUGAACUUAUGCAUCACGUGCUAGUGAUUUAAUAUUCCUUUGGAGAAAUUAUUAUCUUGUUGGAAAGAUAUUUUGGUAAAGUAUUUUUCUUUAUAUAAAGGGUAUCUUCUAAUUUAUGUAAUCCUUUCGAGACUUAAAAAUCAUUGUGAUUUUUGUGCUCUCCAGAGAAGGGAGUGUUUGAUAAAAUUAGCUAUAGAAUCGUUCAAAUUUGUAAGUUACCUGAAAGUUUAUAAUUAAGUUAGAAAAUGAAAAGUUAAAAAUUUAUAAGCUAACUUAUUUAAUUAAACGUGUUUCGUGAAAUUAAAUGAUAAGUUAAGUUAUAAAUAUAAAAUGGCAUGUAUAAAUGUAAAGGAUUAAAUAGGAUUUUAAAUAUAAAUAAAUAAAUAAAAGUUAGUUUCUUAUAAGCUAAUUGCAAUAACUUAUGAAGAUAAGAUAAAAGCCAAUAAAAUAACAUAUUAAGAUAUCUAAUUAUCUCUUAAUAUGUUAUUUUAUUUUCGUGUGGGGCGCGGUGAUGUAUCCUUUGGGUUUGAUUAAUUCGUGGUUUUAUGAAGAAAAAACCUAUACGAUGAGAUUCUAUUUGGGCAUAUUGUUGCAAUUGAAACUCUAUGAUAUAUAUUUAAAAUUCUUGGAACUCGUCUGUUCUCUAUACUAUGGUUCCGUUGGAGGUUCAUGAAUUAGUUUAGAAAAUAGUGCUGCAUGAGGAAGUUGUGAACACAUUCAUUUGAAACCCAUCCCCUUCGGACUACUACUCGGCAAAAUCUGUUUUUAGGUGACUUUGUUGGAGACUUACCAUUCUAAAUACAUGUGAAGAAAACUGGACCAAAAUCUAAAACUUGAGACUAUCAGAAAAUAUAAAUUUUUUUAUGGCUUAUCUAUAGAGAUAGCCUUCCUAUUAAUGCUUUUUGUUGGAGGAGACAUUUGUUUUGCUCUUCUUUUUGUUGCAAGAGUAAUGGAGUAAAGGAGACGUGGAUUCACACGUUGAGGGAUUGCCCAAUAGCUAAAUCCAUUUGGCAUAAGCUCCAUAUUCUUUCUUUUCUUAAUCACUACAACAAAGAUGAUGCUCUAUGAUUGCACCACUAUGUCAUGGGGAGUAAUUCUCAACUCUUUGGGACUGCAUGUUGGAUGAUUUGGAAAACCCGUAAUCACUGUUGUUUCCAGGGUGAAGAAUGAACACAAAUUUACACUAUGAACCAAAUCAUAAGUCAAUGUCAACUCAUUCAAACUCACUUUAAGGGAUCUUCCUCGACAAGAGACUUGCGUAAUGUCAUAUGAUCUGCAACUAUUUCUCAUUUCGUUAAGUUAAAUACUAAUGGAAGUUUUUUAAGUAACCCAAGGUCAUCAAGUAUAGGAGGUAUAGUGUGGAAUUCUCGGGGAUUUUGACUCUCCGGAUUCUAAGGUUACACUACGAACAUGCAUACUAAGCUCCUUGAAAUCCUCAAUGGGAUGCUCCAUGCAUGGAAGAAUGAGUUUAGACAUAUCAUCAGAGAGACAAACUUCUUAGUUGUUAUUCAGCUGAUGGAACAGCAGACACUUUUUUUUUUCACCUGUUUGUGAUGAUAAUUGUAUCUAUUAAGACACUCUUGACCCUCUAAUGAGAAAUUUGUAUCAUCCACACUUUGCGGGAUGAGAAUGCUUGCACUGAUAUCCUCGCAAAGGAAAGAACUAGUUUCCACCAAUGUAUCAUUGGUCACGCUAAAACUUUACUCCAAUGAUAUUUUGCCUUGUGUAAUUGUUGAUGCACUUAGCACAUUUUUUUUACACUUAUAAUUCUACUCUUUCCUUUUCUUCAUUAAUAAAAAAAAUAUUUCAUUAUGUUCUAAUUGUAUUGAGUUUUAAUUUAUUGGCUUAUCAAUACAUUUAAGUUUAAUUGUGGUUUUAAACUAUAAUAUCUUUUAACAUUAUUAUAAGGUAUUACUGUAUUAUUUUUUUAAAAAACCGUUUGACUGCUUAUUAUAAAUAGUUCAAAAGCCUGAAUUUUGUAAAGGAUGCAACCACAUGAAAAAAUACGUUAAAGAAAAUAUAUUACAAUAGUGUAUUACAAAUACUAUAUUUACAAUGUUUUGAUACACGAUUGUGUACUGUAUGUGUGUGUUAAAAUGAGUAUUUUAUUUUACAGUCUAUGAAAAAAUUUCUUUAACUCAUUACAAUUUAUAUCAAGAACAGUUCAUGAUUUCUAUUAAUGUGACAUGUUCCAUCUUAGUUAUCACCUCUAAGUCCAAUCAAUAUUGAGCAGUAUUUUUAAUAUGUUUUUAGCAGCAAAUAAGUAUAUAUGUAUAAUCAAUAAAUGGGUACAAGGGGCAGUACAAAAGAACUCGUAUACAAGUAGUAUUUUUAAUAUACUUGUUUCUACAUAUAUAUUUUAUGUAAAUAUUUUCUGUUAAUUGAAAUAACACUGACACCUGUAUAUAUUGAUGAACUGAAGUUGAAAACCAAUGCUUCGAUAGUAUUUUAAUUAUCUUGCAUGAUAAAGAGAUUUAUACAACAAUGUAUGAAAAGAACCCACCAUGUUGAUUUAUAAGGUCCACCGUACCAUCUCUGUAUUUACAACUAUGAAAAUACUGUUGUCUGAAGUCUGAACAAGGUGUCUCUAUUAUUUAGUUUUGUCGCGUGAUAAAAGAGAGAAGAAAAGUAUAAACAAGUGAUAAAAUAUAAAAUUACAGUGUUGACAUUAAAAAAAUUGUUGUACAAAUAACAGGAUUCAAAUAUAAAUAUCUUUACCUAACAUUACUCUGUCUUCAUUUAACAAUAUUUGAAAGGAAAAAAAAAAACUUUCAAGCGUUCUAAUUAGUGCAUGCAAUGCAAAUAGUACGUACUAGUCUGAUAACGUUUUUUUUAUUACUAAAUAUUUUUAAGUCUUGUUUUUUUUACUGCAUAAUUUUUUUUUCUAGUCAGAGAUUACGGAUUGUAUUUUAAUCCACUAGGUUAAAGACUAAUUUCACUUGAAGUAUAUAUCUGUUAUUGACCUAAGGAAAUUUUACACAAGAUGAAAAUCAAACAAGAAUUUUCUAUUAAAUAGAUUGAUCAUUUUCACUCAUAUGAACACAACUAAAUCUCGCUAAAAUUUGAUGUUCACUUUCUUUUUAAUGAAACACAUAAAAUCCAUUCAAUAAAAACUCAUGUAACAAUUGGAUUUGGAUCCUCUCAAGUCUCAAGUAAUUAAGUAAUCAAUAUAAUUGUUCUUAUUAAAAUCUGGAACUAGGAUAUAUCAAGAAAGACGUGACCAAAUUGGGCUUGUGUACUUCACACGUUGAUUUUGAGGAUGACCUUUGUUAGGAAGAUAAAAUGGAAGACCUACAACAAAUGACUCUGACGCUCAAGUAAUUAAGAAUAUGAAUGAGGAGAAAUAAACAAAUAUAUGCAUAUGAAAACAAGUACACGCAAGCUUGAGGUGUGAGCGAAUGUGAGUGUGUUGAGGAUUCGAUAGAUCCUGAUGAUAUUCAUAAGAAUGGAGCAUAACUGUGAGUUUUGUUUGUAGAGGCUGUUAUAGUCUUUGUAGAUAAUUCCCAACAUAUAGAUAAUAGCCAGAAGUUAAUAAAUGUUGCUAGAGAUAAACUGUAACUUAUAUAUAGAUAAAAACUAUAAGAUAAUUGUAUAUUGUAGAUAAUGUGUGAUUUUGUAAAUAAUUAAUUACCUACCAAUAGAUAAAGAUAUUCAAAUAUUAAUAGGUUAGAAAUAACAUGUCUGUCAAAAACUCUGACUGCUAAGGAUCGAGUGUCUACACUCUUAUGGUAAAACUGACGUGAAAAGUAUAUGUGUCUUAAAGUGUCAUAUAGGAUUGUAGAUCUUAGAUAGUACAAUGAUGAUGUCAUGUUGGGUCAUAAAAACAAAAUAUUAAUUUAUAAUAAAAACCACCAUAAUUUUGUAGGCCCCAUUAAUUUUGUUUUUGUGUUGGUGAUGUCACGUUAGUCACUAAGUAAAGGGAUAAAGGCGAGCUGAAGAUUUCUAUAUAAGGCUUCGAUAUUUGGUCAUGUAACCACAACCCAAAGCUACUGAAAUUCCCCAAAGGCAAAAAACAAUACAAGAUGAAGAGCGAGUUCCUUUUUGUUUUCCUAUUCUUGGGAAUUCUUAACUGUGAAGCACAAUAUUUCAAUGCUAACCCAUACGACUAUUUACAACUAGCCUUAAGGUGGCCUAAUUCCUAUUGCUUGACACAUGAAGGUGGUUGCAGGGAAAUAGUACCACAAUAUUUCACUAUUAGCUACCUUCAUCCCAUGAGAAGAGGAGGCCCGGAUCUGCAAAAUUGCCCCUCACCAUUUAAUAUGCCAAAUAGCACUGUUAGUAUAUCUCCUGCAUUCCCAUAACAUUUAUUUUGUUUUGUUUUCAAGUUUCCUUCACGGAAAUUGUCCUUAUUAGACUAAGGUUUUAUUGACAGAUUUUUUGAAAAAAAAUAAUAAAGUAAAAUAAAUUAAGUUUAUUCCAUAAGUUAAAAUUAAUUUAUGACCUUAACUGUAGAUAAAUUUUAUAAAAGUUUUUUCUUAAGAAAAAUUAGGAUGAGGAGGUGGCACUCGAGACCUAUACAGAAAAAAGUUUUUUUUUUUUUGAGUUUAAGUGUAGAAGUUAAUUUUAACUUACUUACCAAAGAAACUUAAUUUAUUUUAUAUGAAUUCUAUAAAUUAUAUGCAUGCAGAUGGAGACAAACAAAAAUGACCUACUCAAAUACUGGCCUGAUCUGAGAACUGAUAAUUUUAUAGAGAGUAAGUCAUUAUGGAGGGACCAAUGGAGAAAGUUUGGUUCAUGCUACAGUAUGAUGCCAGAUGACUAUAUUGUUUAUGCACUCAACAGCAGAAAGAGAAAUGAC